UCCUGCAGAAUAAAGCCAGACCAGCUGGCUUUGAAGAGAAACCCCCCAGUUUGGGCUGCGUUUGCCUCCUCUCCUUUUCUAUGAAGACCGAGGCUUUGCCCCCUUGAUCGUCAAGCCGUGAGAUGCGUGAUCUCUCUGCACAAGUGUCUGGCAGGCCGAGGUGCACCUGUUUCUGUCACUCUGGAGUAAAUUUAGCUGUAAAGGGCACCACUUUAAGAUAAAAACAUAGACCUGAAUGGCAUCAUCCAGUAUCCAAGGAAACCAUUGUGUCUGUAACCAGCUAAUGAGCUGCAACAGAGCCUGGCCUUCAUUUUCAGCAAAUUAAGUUCAUCCCUCAUAGGAAUUGUGGUCUGGCUGUGGCACCGCUCCUAGUAGAUGAUCUGUCUGGGGAUGCCGGCAAGUGCUCUCAAGAGAAAAUGUAUUCUGUUUCAUCCAGGUUCUCUAAACAUGAGUAUGCCUUUGGGGGAAGACAGAAGAACAUGGAAGCCACGUGAAAAAACAAACAGAUCCUAAGGUAUAAACAAAGUGCAGAUGAUUGUCGGCCAUGCUGCAGGGAUUUCUUGUUUGUCUUCUCAGUAGUGUUAGCUAAUUUUGUCUUCCAAUCCCCAAUUCCUUAUAGGACCUGGGCCCUUUGAACCUCUCAGGACCCCUCAGAUUCUAGUAUAUAAACUCGGAGCCAAAUUCACAGCCAGCUCUCCUUCAAACUGCCUUAUCUGUUUUUCAGUUAAUUAGAAGGGCCUUUUAACAGCUUUCCAUUUGAGUCCUAAGAAAAGCCCAAUUCAUUAGGCAAUAGAGCCACCGUGCUGGCCCCUAAUCAAGGUCAGUACAUAUCAUUAUACGACUGAUCCAAAUUUGAGUUGGUUCAGUUAUUUCAUUUGUUCAUUGUCCACAAUGUUUCAGUCACAGUACCAGGUGCUCAGAGUGUGGUGUUAGAGACAAGAUUCAAAGUAAGUAAUUUUAGACCAAUGUCAUAUGUGCCAUUAUAGAAGUAUGGCUGAAAAUGGAAUUUAUAUAAAUAAGCAUGUUGGGCAAGAAACAGGGUUGGGCAAGAAAGACCUUACAGAAGAGAUGAAUAUCUUAGCGAAUAUCUUAGCAGGAUUUCAAAGAAUGGACUAGAGUUUUGCAGGCAGAUGAGAUAGGAAGGGUGCCAGAGAGAAAGGAAAGCAUGGGCAAGGGAUCAGGAGGUGGGGAACAAUGUGAUAUAGUUUGAGGUACUGGAGUAUAAAGUUAACAAGAGGAGAAUAUUUAGAAAGAAGGAUGGAGAAGUAGGCAGAGAGCAGAUUAUCAGGUUAAGGUAUUAGAAAUUAGUAUUGAAGUUUACUAGAAGCCAGCAGCACAUUCAGUGCAAGCAGGUGCCAUGGUUAUAUUAGUUUUAGUUUAGUAAUCAGUGUAGAAGAUGGAUGAGAGGGGGUGAGUCUGGAGGCAAUAAGCAUAGUUGGUAGUAGCAGUCUAGAUGUCACCUGACAGGCGCCUUUACUAGCCCAGUGGUGGGCAUUUUUUAUGCAUCAGUCUUUCUUCUAGUCUGUGAAUUUCUUAUAACGAGGGUGUGGUCUUCCUCACACUUGUUUCUUCACACUUGUUGCCUACUGUCAUACCUGACAUGCAGCAAAUUAUCAUAGCAAGACAAAAAAUCUUUUAAACGUGUACUCUUUAUUACUCUGUUGGACCAUGAUGAGAGUAUCUUAUUGUAUGGCUAUUUAAAAUUAUUUAUGAAGAUAAUAUUUUUUGUGUUGGAAAUGCUACAAUAAUUUAAUUGUGAGAUUUAUAAAUAAGACUUAUUGUUCACAUUUGUUUGACGUUUUCAUAUAUGUGAUGAAAUAGACAAUUUACUCUGUAAGUCUUAAAUAUAAAAAUGAUUCAUUAUUUCUUUCUGAGCCAGGGAUAUACUUGAAUUUUUUUUCUCCAGUAGUAGCAAUAGAUGUAUACAAAUUAACAUAUAUUUCUCAUUCCAUUCUUGUAUAAAAUAGCAUACACAACUAGUUUGAACAGCUAGAGCAUAAUAAACUCAAACUCUUUAUGGAUUCACUCUUUCCCUGCCACAAUUGAAAUAUUAGGUAAGUUCUAUAUCUUUUUCAUCUCCUUUUGGACAAUAAAAGAAGUACUCUGGCCACUUACAGUCAGAACCCCAUUUAGGUAAUUAAAGUGACUAGUCCAUGCAAUAAUCAGUAAUCUCAGGUUCCUGUAAAUUUAAAAGCUUUCAUUUCCCAUGUUGGUUCCACUGCCAUUCCCCUAACCACUGGCUCUGGGUUUUUCACUGUUCCUUGGUGGAGAAACAGGGAGGAGAGGCAAGGGCAGGGAUGCCAGUAGUCUGCAUUGGCUUGUUGCAUUAGGUUGGUGCAAAAGGAAUUGCAGUUUUUGUCAUUACUUUAAAGUCAAAAACCGCAAUUACUUUUGCACCAACCUAAUAUGCUCUCAGCUGAUGUGGGACACUCUUUGGGUUCUGCAGAAAUUCCCUCACUAGAGCCAUCUAGUCUCUUUCUCUCUGUUUGUUUGCUUCAGUAGCUCCUCAGCUUCUACAUCAGUUAGUACCCCAUAGCUUCUUUAUGCCAAGGUUGCCUCAUCCUCAGAAAAAAAAAUCCUUUUAAAGGAAACUCUUACCCAGAUGUCAUCUAAAGAGCCCACACUGGGUCAUGGAAACACCAACCUCUGCUUUAUUGUCUGUGGAAGUGCAGCUGGCUCCGAGGACAGCUGUAUCUCUUUGCAUUGCCUCUAAGUAGGCAACUCCAGCUAUAGAGUCUUUUGCCUGAAAUUUCUCAAAGGUAGACUAAACACGUGUCUCCUCUGUCCUCCAAGCUUUAGGGAAUCAACAUUAAGCUCUCUAUGAGGUGUUCUUGAUGCCUCUCUUACAGAUGAGGGAGAUGAAAAGUAGCAACAGCCUCCAACAACAUUCUACAGAGAAAUUCUUAUGUCUCUCAGUUUCCUCAAUAUCAACUGUUUCAGACCCUUGAGUAGAUGUUGAGUCACUAAGCAGUUUCAGUCCACUUCCUUUCAGGUCUUGUUUAGGAGGUCCAUUGCCUUAUUUUAGAAUGUGGGAGAAUUUGCUACCUAUUGUUUCCGUUUUGAUUUUGGGGGCCUCCCCCAAAACUCAGAUAGAAAGAAUCUUUCCUUAAUACCUUGUUGCAGAGACAAGUGUAAGAUAUCUGUAAAUCAUGGCCAUAAACUAGAAUAAAAUGAGUUGGUUUAUUGGAGAUGUAAAUGCUUAACCUUGGCGUACAAUAAGCACAAUAUUGAUGUACAACAAUACUGAGCAUCACUUUACAAUGUAAAAUCAAACAGAAAUCAGUAAAAUCAACAAAAAUUGCUUACCAUCUCCUAAAUGCCGGUUUAUUCCAGGUGCUCGAUGUGCAAAAAUUAAGCACAUGAUUUCUUUCCUCAUGGAGCUAGCUAUCUAACGAGAGACUAGAUUGCUGAAAUAUGUUCAAAAGUAAUCACCAUACAACUUAACAUCACAAUGGAAAGUUCUACAAACACUUCAGGGCACAUGGAAGAUGGAGUAUCUGAGUUUAAGAAAGUCUUUGCAAAGGACGUUUGAAGAGGCUCUUGAAUGAAGAUAGGACUUCUCUAGGAAGAAAGGAGGAAAGGGCAACCCAGAUGCACAAUGGGAUGUGUAAGGGUUGGAUAGGGAAGGUUAGGAUGGUGUGGUGUGGGAACUGUGAAGAAAGUGUAGCUGGUACAUAAGGCUGGAGCAGUUACAAGAUAAUUGGGAAAUUGCAACGACUGUUCUAAGCCAAAAAGUUUAAACUUCCUACAGACAAUAGGAAAUUAUAAUUAUUACUAUUUUUUACUUUUCAAGUGUUUACAUAAAAAUAUCACACAUAUUUUACAUCAAUAUAUAAAGAUGAUCAUACAUACUGUUUUUCCUCUUCAUUUUUAAAUUGGCUCCUGCCUCCCACUUUUCUCUUUCCUUCCUGUCUUAUCCCCCUUCUCUACCCACAUCUUUCCUUCCUCAACUCAUGUUAACACUUAUUUUGUAUCCUUUCUUUGUUUUCUCCUUGGCUAUAUAAUUAUAUUCAAGCAUACAGUAUAUGUAUAUAUUCAAUAUCCAUAUACAUAGGGUUUUUUUGGCCAUUGUUUGCUUUAUAAAAGAAUACUUUGCAUAUUUUUCUGCAUCUUGCUUUUUUUUUACUUGACUAUUCUUAGAGGAAAUGUCUCCAAGUCAACAGGGCUAGCUCAUUGCAGGCUUUUAAAUGACAUAAUCAGAAUUUUAUAUCUGAGAUACGAUGUUAGAGUGGACAAUGAGUUUAAAAGGGGAUAGAAACUGGAGGAAGGAGAUAAACUGAGACACUAAUCAAGUGAAAAAUGAUGGGGGCUUUAGCCAAUGCAGUCACAGUUUUGGCAAGGACAUGUCCUUAGCACAUACAAGUCUCAAAUAAAAAAUGAUUCACUAUAUAAUGCAUCUCAGUAAAAUGCCAAUGCCCACCAUCAUCUGUGUCUAAAAAUUUAUAUUAGAUGCUCUAAAUGUGCUGCUUGAGAAACAUAGGUUCAAAAUAUUCACCAUUAGCUUAGCUGGAGUUUUGAGAAAAGGUGCUUUAUUCUUCCAUAUACAUCCAUAUUUAUUGCUCUACUUCCUCCUUUAUUCUGCAUAUUUUCCUGCAAAAUAUCCCUAAUCUCAAACUAGUUUUGAAACUCAAUGACUAAAUCCACUGAUGGUUUAGUUUAGAAUUCAUAUCUACAUUAGGAUCUUUGAAUAACAGCAACAUUUUCCAUCUUCCAGUAAUACUAUAAUCCUUCUUUAGGUUGCUCAGUAUUGGAUGUGAUUAUACUACUUUUUAUCCAGAUUGCAAUUAAUACAAUCAUGUAACACAUUAUUAAUGCCAGCUAGUGGUCUUAGCAUAUUAUAGUAUAAAUUUUCACAAGUUUUCUAUAUUUAUAAAUGCCUUUUCAACAUCCAAACUGGGUAAAUAUUUCAUUGGAACGUCCAGUAUAUCAUUAUCAGUCCUGUUAAACAAGUCUGGUUAUUCUGCAAAUAAAACCCCGCUUGUCAUAAUCAUGAUAAAGAUAACGUGACCUUUCCAACCUUCUGCCCCUAGAUAUCAUUUUCAACCUCAGUCUAGCCAGUAAUUUUGUUUUGUUUUGUUUUGUCUUUGAGUUGGAGUGUCUCUCUGUCACCCAGGCUGGAGUGCAGUGGCAUCAUCAUCAUAGCUCGCUACAGCCUUGAACUCCUGGGCUCAAGCGAUCCUCCUGCCUUCGCCUCCCAGGGAGCUGAAACCACAGAGGUUAUAUGAAUAGACAGUGAGAUGGCAGCCAUCUCCAAACCAGGAAGAAGGCUUUCACUAAGAACCAAAUCCAUCAGCACCUUCAUCUUGGACUUCCUAGCCUCCAGAUCUAUUAGAAAUAAAUGUCUAUUGUUUAACCCAUCCAGUCUGUGGUGUUUUGUUAUGGAAACCCAAGUUAAGACUGACAGGAAGUGGAA